ensembl:lncRNA
CCCAAAUCUGAGAAGGCACCGGCACCUCCCGGCCUUGUGCAAGCUCAGUGGGGCCGGUGGGGGAGGGGAGGGUCUGCCGCGGAACGGGAGCUCCAGUGUGGGCAGCGGGGAUAGCAAGUCGUGCCCCCUGGCUGCUGGGAAGGCUGGACACAGACGUCCAGCACCGAUGGCCAGCGAUGGGAGGGCACCACAGAAACAAGUGCGGAGCCCUACUCCGGAGGGCACGCGAGCACUGGGAGGGGCCCUAGCCCCUGAGGUCAGAGGGAGUUAAAUGGGGCUGGACCGGGCUGGGCUAGGACGGGUCUUGACCGGGAGCUGGAAGGAAGAGAGCGGCAGAUCUGGGGAGAGGAGGCAAAGGGUCCUUACAGGUAGCUGGGGACAGACAAGCUGGGUGGUAUGGGGUUCCCCGGAGGAAAGAGAAGGCCAUUUCCCAGAGAGAGUGAGCGCAGGGCCCUGCCUUCCCCCAAACCCAGCCCUGUGUUCCCAGGACACUCCCUGCCCACAGCAGCCGGGAGCAGAGAGAGACCUGGUGGGGGGGUGCUCACAUCCCACUGGGAUUAGGAACAAGGAUGAGAGGGGAGGGGAGGGUGAGGGGCAGACGGACAGACGGACAGAGGGUGUGAAGGGAGAAGAGCUCGGGGGCAGCCCUCACUGUUGCCAUGGCAAACGCACACACACAUCCACCUCCGCCAUAAGCUCCGCGGUUGGUGAGCUUCCACCUACACCAAAGCCCAGGACGGCGGGAACCGGGCGCGCGCAUCACCCCAGAGAAGCCUGCGCCUGUCCUGGCCGGGCAGGAAGCCGCCUCCUCUACGGGGCCUGCGGGGGAACAGGAGCCUCCCUGAGUUUGCUGGGCCCUUGGCAAUUUGGCCAAAGCCAAAGUUGAGUCACCAGCCCCGCUGGCUAAGAUGGGGGUGGGCAGCACCCAUCUUGGAAUAUUGAGCCCAGGCCUGAGUGCUGGGUGACCCUGGAGCAGGACUGGGAGGGAGCACACAGGUCAGCCUGAGGGUCUGGGGCUGGCCAGGUGGCCAGGGAGAGACACAGGCUGUGAUGAGGACAAACCCUCUGCCAGGGGGGCACCAUGGGGUGGGGGCUGUCCCUAACGGCCACAUGUACCUCCUGAACCGGUGUGCCACCCCUCAAAGGGACCUGCUGGCACCCAGGAGCCCCCUCCACAGGUGGCUUUGAAGUCUGCACUUUUUGUCUCCUCAUCAGUCCUUAAACAAUAUAUAAGUAGUUUUCAAAAAGUUCAUGGAAAAUGCAUAUUAUCAAAAAAUUAUACCUGAGGGCCAUUGCUAUGGUGUAGUAGGUAAAGCCUGCAGUGCCAGCAUCCCAUAUGGGUGCCAGUUCAAGUCCUGGCUGCUCCACUUCCUAUCCAGCUCUCUGCUGUGGCCCAGGGAAGGCAGUGGAGGAUGGCCCAAGUCCUUGCGCCUGUGUGGGAGACCGGAAGAAGCUCCUGGCUCCUGGCUUCGGAUUGGAGCAGCUCUGGCCAUUGCAGCCAAUUGGGGAGUGAACCAGAGGAUGGAAGACCUCUUUCUCGCUGCCUCUCCUUCUCUCUCUGUGUAACUCUGCCUUUCAAAUAAAUAAAUCUUAAAAAAAAAAAAAUAAACUAUG